AACUUGCGGUCUAACAAGUUACAACAUCUUAGUGCAAGAAUUUUUUCGAAUUUGACGAAUCUUCAAACGCUUAAACUAGAGUCAAAUGCUAUUUCGAAAAUUGAAGAUUAUGCGUUUAUUAACCAGGACAAAUUAGAGAUGUUACGGUUGAACCAUAAUUCUAUCACAGCAAUAACUCCAAAUACAUUUGCUGGAUUGAAAAGAGUAAACAGUCUGUAUAUGAACAACAUAAGUGCUUUAAAAAAGUUGGUUGCUUAUUCGUUUCGUGAUCUACCAGAUAUGGGCUUAAUUGAGCUUGGACAAUGUCGCGUAAAAACAUUAGAAAAAUAUGCAUUCUACAACUUAACUGGAAC